CACAAACCGACACAGCUUUGCGAUCUCCCCAGCAUGCAGAGUCUGAUGUCUUCCCUAUAGAUGAUUCCAGAGACUCUGUGAGGCCACUAUUGCAAGGUGAGACGCUUUGCGUUGAUUGGUGCUGCUGGACCACACUGGAGGUGCGAAUCCGCCGUGUAAUGGUUUAUGCCAUUACAAAGGAGCUGGCCUCUGUACUCAACUGGGCAGGGAAAAAAUACCAAGGACCAGACAAAGCAAAAAAGGGCAUUUAAAGAGACAGCGCUGUGCAGAUGCAUAUUUGAUGGCCUGGCGCAGCAGGUAGGGGCGAACUCUAUGUCUGAGUUGGUCUUUGCUCAAGCAGUCCAGAAAUGGCUCAGAUAUGCUCCAGAUCGUACGGGUGGCACGCA